UACGUAGGGGGCAAGCGUUAUCCGGAUUUACUGGGUGUAAAGGGAGCGUAGACGGCGGUGCAAGCCAGAUGUGAAAGCCCGGGGCCCAACCCCGGGACUGCUUUGGAAACUGUGUAACUGGAGUACAGGAGGGGCAGGCGGAAUUCCUGGUGUAGCGGUGAAAUGCGUAGAUAUCAGGAGGAACACCGGCGGCGAAGGCGGCCUGCUGGACUGAAACUGACGCUCAGGCACGAAAGCGUGGGUAUCGAACAGG
rnacentral:rRNA from 1 species